rnacentral:rRNA from 1 species
AGUGGCGAACGGGUGAGUAAAGUAUCGGAACGUGCCCAGUCGUGGGGGAUAACGUAGCGAAAGUUACGCUAAUACCGCAUACGAUCUAUGGAUGAAAGCGGGGGAUCGCAAGACCUCGCGCGAUUGGAGCGGCCGAUAUCAAAUUAGGUAGUUGGUGGGGUAAAGGCUCACCAAGCCGACGAUCUGUAGCUGGUCUGAGAGGACGACCACCCACACUGGGACUGAGACACGGCCCACACUCCUACGGGAGGCAGCAGUGGGGAAUUUUGGACAAUGGGCGCAAGCCUGAUCCAGCCAUGCCGCGUGCAGGAUGAAGGCCUUCGGGUUGUAAACUGCUUUUGUACGGAACGAAAAGGUUUGGCCUAAUAAGCUGAGCUCAUGACGGUACCGUAAGAAUAAGCACCGGCUAACUACGUGCCAGCAGCCGCGGUAAUACGUAGGGUGCGAGCGUUAAUCGGAAUUACUGGGCGUAAAGCGUGCGCAGGCGGUUAUGUAAGACAGAUGUGAAAUCCCCGGGCUCAACCUGGGAACUGCAUUAGUGACUGCAUAGCUGGAGUACGGCAGAGGGGGACGGAAUUCCGCGUGUAGCAGUGAAAUGCGUAUAUAUGCGGAGGAACACCGAUGGCGAAGGCAUCCCUCUUGGGUCUUGUACUGACGCUCAUGCACGAAAGCGUGGG